rnacentral:lncRNA from 1 species
AUGGAACCCCAAAUGAGCUCAACUAACAACUUCCACCAAGGACCCCUGGACCAACCUACUGGUCCUUUGACUGGCCUAGAGAGUUCCCCUCUGGAGGACACUAACACUGCAGGGCCCCUUCUUUGCCCCUAUCCAGCAGUUAGAGUCCUGAAGACUUCAGAUCAAUGUUACUAUAUUACAAGAUUACUAGAAUGACAGGUAAGACCCUUGUUACAUACUGCUAAGUAUCUUUCUAGAAAUCUUUCCAGAAGUUUUUAUGAACUUUCCUUCGCACAAUCAGUGCUAUUUUAAUCCAGCUUUGCCAGUGUUUAGUAUCUCACACAUUUUAUUUGCCCCUGUUUUGAUUAAAUUUUGUUAAACAAAAAGUAUGCUUCUUAUUCUUUUAAUAUGUAUUUCUUUGAUUACUAGUGAGGUGAGAAAAAAACCUUUUUUCUUUUGAUAUUGGUCUGAAAAAGGAUAUAUAUAUAUAUAUCUUAAAGUAUAUAUGUAUUUAUAUACACAUACUACUAAUAGUUUAUAUAUAUAUAUGUGUGUGUGUGUGUAUAUAUAUAUACAGGAGAGGUGGGUGGGAUAGGAUUGCUACUGAUAUCUGCUAGGCACUUGCCACCCUCAAGAAUUAUCAGGUCCUAAUGUCAGUAACACUGAGGUCAAGAAACCGUGCAUUAAACUAUUCACAAUUCUUUUUGGCAUUUGUGAUAAGAUAAGCUUGAAUAAUUCUCCAAAUAGAAUGUGUGUGUGUCUCUUUUUAUGCACAUAUGUCUGGGCUAUUUAUUUUCUUCCACUUCUGCAGAAAUUGAAUUUGGUGACACUACCAUAUGGCUCUAAUUAUUAUUGCAUUUAAAAAUGUAUUAAUAUUUUAUUGGGCCAGUCUGUUAACCAAUAAAUUAUUUUGGAAGACUUAAUGUCAAUAUAAUGUUCAAUUUCCUCUAUCACAUUUGUAGAAUAUCUGUAUAUUUAUUUCAAGUGUCUUUGUAAAUUCCCCAGUCAUGUUUCAUAAUUUUAAUAAAUAGCUGUACCCAUUUCAUGUCUGCAAUUUUAAAGUAUUUUCUUAGUAUUGUACAUGUGAUUUUUUUGACCAUUUUUUAAAAACAGAAAUAUAGUCUAAGAUGCAAUAUAUUUUCAUAAUAUGGUAUAUUAAAAAUUACUGUGAUUUUAUUUUGUAUAUCUAUUUUUAAACAUGCUAUCUAAAUAACAAUAUAAAAAUCCCCAUGUGCUUAAAAAAUCAAACAAUAUAAGUUUAAG